UGAACGCUGGCGGCGUGCCUAACACAUGCAAGUCGCACGAGAAAUCUCCUGCUUGCAGGAGAGAGUAAAGUGGCGCACGGGUGAGUAACACGUGGGUAAUCUACCUUCGAAUUUGGGAUAACGUCGCGAAAGCGAUGCUAAUACCGGAUAAUAUCUGGAGGAUCAAGGACUUCCAGAUCAAAGGGGGCCUCUACAUGUAAGCUUCUGUUUGAAGAUGAGCCCGCGGGCCAUUAGCUUGUUGGCAGGGUAAAAGCCUACCAAGGCAACGAUGGUUAGCUGGUCUGAGAGGAUGAUCAGCCACACUGGAACUGAGACACGGUCCAGACUCCUACGGGAGGCAGCAGUGAGGAAUCUUGCGCAAUGGGGGAAACCCUGACGCAGCAACGCCGCGUGAGUGAAGAAGGCUUUCGGGUCGUAAAGCUCUGUCAAGUGGGAAGAAACUGUUUUGUGCCAAUACCACAAGACACUGACGGUACCACUGAAGGAAGCACCGGCUAACUCC
rnacentral:rRNA from 1 species